rnacentral:lncRNA from 1 species
GUUGCAGUGAGAUGUGAGGCACUUGCAGAGACUCAGUCCACCACCCUGGGCAGCUUUCACCACCCUGGGCAGCUUUUCCGAGACGUAGGGACUGGCUUGCCGUAAUUCAUAGCUUCUGCUGUCCCUUGCUACAUACCUGACUUUCAUUGCGAGUAAGAAUUUGAAAGCAUUGGUGGGGUUGGAGAAAGCAAAAACUUGUGCAGACUCUCACUCUAUUACCCAGGCUGGAGUGCGGUGGCAUGAUCUCGGCUCACUGCAAACUCUGCCUCCCCAGUUCAAAUGAUUCUUCUGCCUUCUGCCUCAGCCUCCCAAAUAGCUGGAACUACAGCAAGGCCAACUUUUCUACCAGAUAACCCUGACCUCAUCCUGUCAGAAUUGAAUGGACCAAGAAUUGAGCUACCCUAAAAGGCCAGUUUUCUGGAAAUAGUUUGAAGAUACCGACUCAUGGUUAAAUGUUUCACAUUUACCCUCAGAAAUGAGUGCUACUGUUCAGAAACGGAGGUGCCCACUUUGCUUGUGGGAUUUAGGAGGAAAUGCCACACACUGUCAUAGAAAAAAUGGCGUCUCACUCUAUUGCCCAGGCUAGAGUACAAUAGUGCAAUCUUGGCUCACUGCAACCUCCCCCUCCCAGGUUCAAGCCAUUCUCCUGCCUCAGCCUCCCGAGUAGCUAGAACUACAAGCACGUGCACUGUACCCAGCUAAUUUUUUGUAUUUUUAGCAGAGACGGGGUUUCUCCAUGUUGGCCAGGCUGGUCUCGAACUCCUGACCUCAGGUAAUCCACCGCCUCAUCCUCCCAAAAUGCAUUAUCUCUUCCCAAAAUGCAUUAUCUAUUUCAUUAAGAAAAAGGAGAAAGCAACCAUGCUAAGCUUCAAAUAAAAGCAUGUGAGCACACCUGAUGACGCUAGACCCACUGGAAUCUCGCAUAACUCAUCCUGAACGUGUUGGGAAUCAAGUCUCUCAGGAUUAGCCCUGGUAAUCUGAAAGUCACCAGUCAUCAAGAAGUGGCAUCUCUACCAUGUGGUGCAAUCAUAGCCCUGAACUCAAAUUUCUGUCUGAUAUAUUUGAUGUGAUCCCUCCUUUUAUACCCUUUUAACUUCUGCUUGGAGAGACCCACUGACCUUGUAGCUGACUGUCAGAACUUUUCCUUGCCAGGCCAGCAAUAAAUUUGGCAUUGUUUUGGACAUUGA